UACGGGAGGCAGCAGGGGGAAUAUUGCACAAUGGGCGCAAGCCUGAUGCAGCCAUGCCGCGUGUAUGAAAAAGGCCUUCGGGUUGUAAAGUACUUUCAGUCGUGAGGAAGGUGUUAAGGUUAAUAACCUUAGCAAUUGACGUUAGCGACAGAAGAAGCACCGGCUAACUCCGUGCCAGCAGCCGCGGUAAUACGGAGGGUGCGAGCGUUAAUCGGAAUUACUGGGCGUAAAGGGCACGCAGGCGGUUAAUUAAGUUGGAUGUGAAAUCCCCGGGCUUAACCUGGGAAUGGCAUUCAAGACUGGUUAGCUAGAGUCUUGUAGAGGGGGUGAAUUCCAUGUGUAGCGGUGAAAUGCGUAGAGAUGUGGAGGAAUACCGGUGGCGAAGGCGGCCCCUGGACAAAGACUGACGCUCAUGUGCGAAAGCUGGGGAGCAAACAGGGAUUAGAUACC
rnacentral:rRNA from 1 species